rnacentral:rRNA from 1 species
AGUGAACGCUGGCGGUAGGCCUAACACAUGCAAGUCGAACGGCAGCACAGUAAGAGCUUGCUCUUACGGGUGGCGAGUGGCGGACGGGUGAGGAAUACAUCGGAAUCUACUUUUUCGUGGGGGAUAACGUAGGGAAACUUACGCUAAUACCGCAUACGACCUACGGGUGAAAGCAGGGGAUCUUCGGACCUUGCGCGAUUGAAUGAGCCGAUGUCGGAUUAGCUAGUUGGCGGGGUAAAGGCCCACCAAGGCGACGAUCCGUAGCUGGUCUGAGAGGAUGAUCAGCCACACUGGAACUGAGACACGGUCCAGACUCCUACGGGAGGCAGCAGUGGGGAAUAUUGGACAAUGGGCGCAAGCCUGAUCCAGCCAUACCGCGUGAGUGAAGAAGGCCUUCGGGUUGUAAAGCCCUUUUGUUGGGAAAGAAAAGCAGCAGGUUAAUACCCCGCUGUUCCGACGGUACCCAAAGAAUAAGCACCGGCUAACUUCGUG